GACGAACGCUGGCGGCGUGCUUAACACAUGCAAGUCGAGCGGUAAGGCCCUUUCGGGGGUACGACGAGCGGCGAACGGGUGAGUAACACGUGGGUGACCUGCCCUCAGCUCUGGGAUAAGCCUGGGAAACGUGGGUCUAAUACCGGAUAUGACUCCAUGACGCAUGUUGUGGGGUGGAAAGCCUUGUGCGGCUGAGGAUGGGCCCGCGGCCUAUCAGCUUGUUGGUGGGGUGANGGCCUACCAAGGCGACGACGGGUAGCCGGCCUGAGAGGGCGACCGGCCACACUGGGACUGAGACACGGCCCAGACUCCUACGGGAGGCAGCAGUGGGGAAUCUUGCGCAAUGGGCGAAAGCCUGACGCAGCGACGCCGCGUGAGGGAUGACGGCCU
rnacentral:rRNA from 1 species